rnacentral:rRNA from 1 species
UACGAAGGGGGCUAGCGUUGUUCGGAAUUACUGGGCGUAAAGCGCGUGUAGGCGGGUCUUUAAGUCAGGGGUGAAAUGCCAAGGCUCAACCUUGGAACUGCCUUUGAUACUGGAGACCUUGAGUCCGGGAGAGGUGAGUGGAAUUGCGAGUGUAGAGGUGAAAUUCGUAGAUAUUCGCAAGAACACCAGUGGCGAAGGCGGCUCACUGGCCCGGAACUGACGCUGAGACGCGAAAGCGUGGGAGCAAACAGGAUUGAGAA